GGGUUGUGAAAUAGGUGUAUAUCGGCAAGAGAGGGUUGUGAAAUAGGUGUAUAUCGGCAAAAGAGGGUUGUGAAAUAGGCGUAUAUCGG